GGCCCAUUAGCUCAGUUGGUUAGAGCGUCGUGCUAAUAACGCGAAGGUCGUGGUUCGAUCAUGGCCAUACUUUUCG